rfam:Schistosoma haematobium scaffold188_16, whole genome shotgun sequence.
GCACUGUUGAAGAGUCCCAUACUAGGACGAAACGGCCGUCUAGUGC